CUCCCACCCCCCUUCGGCCCUAACGCCGGGCUCUCGCGCGCGCCGCGCUCUUAUGGCCCGGGAGGGCGGGACUAAGUUGCGCUGGAGCUCUUCAUUGGCGGGAAGCGCGCCGUGCCGGCGUCUAUUGGCUGGAGGGGCGCGCGGGUGCGGAGUGCGCGCGUGCGGGGUUGCGCGCCCGGGCGGGCAUUGCGGCGGGUGAGGGGCCGCGCGGCGCGCGGGGCCGGUGCUUGUCCGCGAGGAGGCAGCAGCCCGCCGGUCUGUGAGGGGCAUCUGCUCAGCGGGGUAGCGUUUGUUACAUUUGCAGCAAAGUAACAGGAAAAACGUUGUUUACACGUGUUCAUUCAGAGACCAGACAACCUGCAGGGAGGAUAGCCGCCCUUCAGAAACGCUCCUAAGAGUGACAUACUCCUGUCAGAUGCCCGGCGUCUCUCAGCAGGCGAGGGCUGAGCCUCGAGAAGCGUUUACUUUACAGAACGUUCGACCGUCUUUCAUUUAAGGGGUUGUUUGCACCUUGCUGUGGGUUUUGGGGUCUUUAGGGAUCCCUGGUGGCCUAUAUAUGCUGUUGUUUUUCACCCUGGCUAUGGAAGCUGCAACAACAGUUAAAGUCGUUUCUACAACUGGCCGCAGAGCCCCUGAACGGGAUCGCACCGGCUUGGCUCGUCACAAAACCCAACCUCCCGUUCACCAUCACUUCUGCUCAGGACAAUACCUCACACCUGUGGAUAAAUGCUACCCUCAUUGGUACUGCUAAAAUCGUUGUAGCAGUGAGGUCCCUACAGAACACUCAAUGGAGAGCAGAAAAGACCCAUCAGAAGUAUGGAGAGCCACCAAGCCUGAUUAUUUUAAACAUUUCAUUUUCAUUUGUUUUUUGCUUAGAUAAUUUGAGCUGAAUGUUGAUACCAAAGCAUACACUUUAUGGAACAAAUGAUUCAUAGGAAAC
rnacentral:lncRNA from 1 species